rnacentral:rRNA from 2 species
AAAUUGAAGAGUUUGAUCAUGGCUCAGAUUGAACGCUGGCGGCAGGCCUAACACAUGCAAGUCGAACGGUAACAGGAAGCAGCUUGCUGCUUCGCUGACGAGUGGCGGACGGGUGAGUAAUGUCUGGGAAACUGCCUGAUGGAGGGGGAUAACUACUGGAAACGGUGGCUAAUACCGCAUAACGUCGCAAGACCAAAGAGGGGGACCUUCGGGCCUCUUGCCAUCAGAUGUGCCCAGAUGGGAUUAGCUUGUUGGUGAGGUAACGGCUCACCAAGGCGACGAUCCCUAGCUGGUCUGAGAGGAUGACCAGCCACACUGGAACUGAGACACGGUCCAGACUCCUACGGGAGGCAGCAGUGGGGAAUAUUGCACAAUGGGCGCAAGCCUGAUGCAGCCAUGCCGCGUGUAUGAAGAAGGCCUUCGGGUUGUAAAGUACUUUCAGCGGGGAGGAAGGUGUUGCGGUUAAUAACCGCAGCAAUUGACGUUACCCGCAGAAGAAGCACCGGCUAACUCCGUGCCAGCAGCCGCGGUAAUACGGAGGGUGCAAGCGUUAAUCGGAAUUACUGGGCGUAAAGCGCACGCAGGCGGUCUGUCAAGUCGGAUGUGAAAUCCCC